UACAGAGGUCCCGAGCGUUGUUCGGACUCAUUGGGCGUAAAGGGUGCGUAGGCGGCGGGGCAAGUCUGAUGUGAAAUCCCGGGGCUCAACCCCGGAACUGCAUUGGAUACUGCCUUGCUAGAGUACUGGAGAGGGAACUGGAAUUUACGGUGUAGCAGUGAAAUGCGUAGAGAUCGUAAGGAAGGCCAGUGGCGAAGGCGAGUUCCUGGACAGUUACUGACGCUGAGGCACGAAGGCCAGGGGAGCAAACGGG
rnacentral:rRNA from 1 species